UACGUAGGUGGCAAGCGUUGUCCGGAAUUACUGGGUGUAAAGGGAGCGUAGGCGGGUGCGCAAGUUGAAUGUUUAAACUAUCGGCUCAACCGAUAAUCGCGUUCAAAACUGCGUAUCUUGAGUGAAGUAGAGGCAGGCGGAAUUCCUAGUGUAGCGGUGAAAUGCGUAGAUAUUAGGAGGAACACCAGUGGCGAAAGCGGCCUGCUGGGCUUUUACUGACGCUGAGGCUCGAAAGCAUGGGUAGCAAACAGG
rnacentral:rRNA from 1 species